rnacentral:misc_RNA from 1 species
AACCAUAGAAACCUGCGGAGUACCUGCGGAAGGAUCAUUAUUGGAAAAAAACUUAUCUAAGUUGCAGGAGGGGGGGAAAAGUGGAAGUGAGUGGGCUUUUCUGGUUCGCUUUUUCACUUUUUCUCUCCUUUCUGCUUCUUCAAACAAACGAUCACAACUAUAGUGUGGGGAAUUUGGAUUGGAUGAUUUGGUGGUGGGGGGAAAACUUAUAUCAAAAGUAUUUGCCUGAUACAAUGUACA